AACGAACGCUGGCGGCAUGCCUAACACAUGCAAGUCGAACGAGACCUUCGGGUCUAGUGGCGCACGGGUGCGUAACGCGUGGGAACCUGCCUUUAGGUUCGGAAUAACUCAGAGAAAUUUGAGCUAAUACCGGAUAAUGUCUUCGGACCAAAGAUUUAUCGCCUUUAGAUGGGCCCGCGUUGGAUUAGCUAGUUGGUGGGGUAAAGGCCUACCAAGGCGACGAUCCAUAGCUGGUCUGAGAGGAUGAUCAGCCACACUGGGACUGAGACACGGCCCAGACUCCUACGGGAGGCAGCAGUGGGGAAUAUUGGACAAUGGGCGAAAGCCUGACCCAGCAAUGCCGCGUGAGUGAUGAAGG
rnacentral:rRNA from 1 species